ensembl:lncRNA
UAGCUCCUAUAGCUAGUAAUAAAGUAGAUACCGUAGGUAACAAACAAAUAGAAAUAGAAGUUAUUAAAAAAAAUAAUGACAGUAAUGCAUUAAAUAAAGAAAAAAUUCAAAAUACAAAAUUAAAUGCAACUGAAACAGGAAUAGAAGAUGUCCAAAAUGUUAAUUCUAUGAAAUCAUUAUUUAUACAAAAGGAUGAUGAGGACUCUUCAAGUGUUAAUGGAAACAUAAACAAAAGUGAAGAUAACAGUUCCACUGCUCAAACAAUAAAUACGAUAACUAAUGAUAAUACAAAAGGAGAGGAGCAGGUUGCGGUAAAAGAAAUAGAUAUACACAAAAAAGAAGUAAAAGUAGAAAAUAAAGGUACAAAUGAUGUUGAGGUAGUGACUAAUAAAAACAAUGUAUUAUUAAAUGAUGGUACAAAAAAUGAUGCUCUUCCUAGUAAUACCGAUAGUAAUAAAACUACCAAUCUUGACAGUGCUAACAUAAUAAACGUUGGAUUCGAAAAUGAAAAUGUCGAGCUGAAUAGUAAAACCAAAGUUAAAGAGAAAAUGGAAGAAGUGGAAGGAAAAAAAGAAGGAGAAAAAGAAGGAAAAAAAGAAGUAGAAAAAGAAGGAGAAAAAGAAGGAGAAAAAGAAGGAGAAAAAGAAAGUAAUGAUGAUAUUAACUCAGAUUUAAAUUUCUUAAAAGUGUUAUCUAUUGGUUCAUCUAUAAUUAUGCAACUUAUGUUAUUACCUUCCAUUUUUAAAAUAUUAAGAAAAAGAUCUACCGGUGAAAUAGAUGGAUUACCUUAUGUUGUUUUAUUAUUUUCUUCGUUUUUAUGGUUAGUAUAUGGUAUGUUAUUAAACAAUUCAGCAAUAGUAUUUCCGAAUAUAGUUGGGUUAAUACUAGGUAUAUUUUAUUCUAUUAUAUAUCAUUCUUAUUGUAAGAACAUGUGGUUAAAAGAGAAAUUAUAUUCUUAUUAUAAAAUAUGUGGUUUUACAUGCUUUAUGUUAUAUACAUUUUUAUAUGUAUUAACAUAUGAACAAUAUGAAUUAUUUGUUGGUUUUAUGGCCUUUACAUCCAGUAUUAUUAACUUUGGUGCACCAUUAUCAUAUAUACAAAUAGUUAUAAAAAAGAAAAACGCAUCUUUAAUACCAAUAGAAAUAUCGAUAGGUAGUUUAGUUUGUUCUUUUUUAUGGUUAAUAUAUGGAUUAAAAUUAAAAGAUGGUUUUAUAAUUUUACCUAAUUUAUGUGGUUUUAUAUUAAGUUUAUUACAGUUAAUUUUGAUUUUUAUAUAUAGCGAUAAUAAAAAUAUGGAAAAUUUUAAUGCAGAGAGUGAAAUAGAUAAUGAUAUAGGACAUAGUAACAUUAUAAUUACUGACAAUAACCUUUUUUUUAAUGAAUAUUCUAUGGAUAUAGAUGAUGGAAAAAUGAAUGAUGUUUCGGUAAAUGUUAAUAACUCCUUUUAUGAUAUUAGCUAUGAUGAAACUUCCCCAUUGACUGGAAAUGUUAUUAAUACGACUUAUAACCAACAGCAGGGGGAUGGGAUGCCAACAGUACAGAUAAAUCAUAUACAGCAUGGGCAUAACAUAUCUACACAUG